CCUGCCCGGUGCUGGAAGGUUAAUUGAAGAUGUGAGAGCAUCGGAUCGAAGCCCCAGUAAACGGCGGCCGUAACUAUAACGGUCCUAAGGUAGCGAAAUUCCUUGUCGGGUAAGUUCCGACCCGCACGAAUGGCGUAACGAUGGCCACACUGUCUCCUCCCGAGACUCAGCGAAGUUGAAGUGGUUGUGAAGAUGCAAUCUACCCGCUGCUAGACGGAAAGACCCCGUGAACCUUUACUGUAGCUUUGCAUUGGACUUUGAAGUCACUUGUGUAGGAUAGGUGGGAGGCUUUGAAGCAGAGACGCCAGUCUCUGUGGAGCCGUCCUUGAAAUACCACCCUGGUGUCUUUGAGGUUCUAACCCAGACCCGUAAUCCGGGUCGGGGACCGUGCAUGGUAGGCAGUUUGACUGGGGCGGUCUCCUCCCAAAGAGUAACGGAGGAGUUCGAAGGUUACCUAGGUCCGGUCGGAAAUCGGACUGAUAGUGCAAUGGCAAAAGGUAGCUUAACUGCGAGACCGACAAGUCGAGCAGGUGCGAAAGCAGGACAUAGUGAUCCGGUGGUUCUGUAUGGAAGGGCCAUCGCUCAACGGAUAAAAGGUACUCCGGGGAUAACAGGCUGAUUCCGCCCAAGAGUUCAUAUCGACGGCGGAGUUUGGCACCUCGAUGUCGGCUCAUCACAUCCUGGGGCUGUAGUCGGUCCCAAGGGUAUGGCUGUUCGCCAUUUAAAGUGGUACGUGAGCUGGGUUUAAAACGUCGUGAGACAGUUUGGUCCCUAUCUGCAGUGGGCGUUGGAAGUUUGACGGGGGCUGCUCCUAGUACGAGAGGACCGGAGUGGACGAACCUCUGGUGUACCGGUUGUAACGCCAGUUGCAUAGCCGGGUAGCUAAGUUCGGAAGAGAUAAGCGCUGAAAGCAUCUAAGCGCGAAACUCGCCUGAAGAUGAGACUUCCCUUGUGGUUUAACCACACUAAAGAGUCGUUCGAGACCAGGACGUUGAUAGGUGGGGUGUGGAAGCGCGGUAACGCGUGAAGCUAACCCAUACUAAUUGCUCGUGAGGCUUGACUCUAU
rnacentral:rRNA from 1 species